UUGGUAUACGUGCCGACUGGACACGACGACUUGCAUAAUCAUUAAAUUCUUUCCGAGAUAACCUAAUAACCUUGAUUAGCUAAGCAGUUUGACAAGCAAGCCUUUUUGAAUGGCCUUGCCGCCCAUACCAUGCCUUAGAACAAUUAUCGAGUCAGAUUGGACUACAAAGGCGUACCUGUAAUUGAAAAAUGUACCGGCAGAAGUUGCCGUACACAGUGACUGGACUUGAUCCACGUGGCGAAGAAGGAAAACGUUUUGCAAACAAACUUCGAACACGUAGGUCCCGUUCUUCUAUUUUCGAACAUGAUGGAAAUAUGCCAAAUAUUCGCGCGAUGAAGGUAAAUACAAGCCAGGUUUGACGUCAAAGCUGGCAAGAAAAAUGGCAAAUGUUUCAAUCAUUGGAAUAAUUAGUAGUUUAAAAAUAAGUCAAGAACAGUCUACCGUAUUUUUUCCACCACUCGUUAUCUGGUCCAAUGAAGAACUUAAAAUCCCCAUAAUUUUACACGGUAAUAACUUUUCCGGUUUAGGAAUUUUAAAAUCUAGAUUUAAAAAAAAAAGCAUAGCCCUUGAUGAUAUCAUGCAUCGUUAUCAAUGGGCGAGAGCAUGAACGACUUGAAGUCUAGUCUUGUGCACAAAAAAUAUAUACAUCGACCAACAUGGAAAACCUGACGUCAGAAGACACUGAAAUACGUCCAUAAAUAAGGCAUGUCCGGGUGGAUACCAAGAAGGUUGAAAAAAAAUAUACAUAUAUAUAUAUAAAUAAUAAUAAA